UACGUAGGGUGCGAGCGUUGUCCGGAAUUAUUGGGCGUAAAGAGCUCGUAGGCGGUGUGUCACGUCGGCCGUGAAAACCUGCAGCUUAACUGUGGGCGUGCGGUCGAUACGGGCAUCACUGGAGUUCGGCAGGGGAGACUGGAAUUCCUGGUCUAGCGGUGAAAUGCGCAGAUAUCAGGAGGAACACCGGUGGCGAAGGCGGGUCUCUGGGCCGAUACUGACGCUGAGGAGCGAAAGCGUGGGGAGCAAACAGG
rnacentral:rRNA from 1 species